CUCCUGCCUAUGUGGCAGACAAUAGCUGGGCUUUAACUGCUGCGCAGAACGUGACAGCCUUUUAUUUCUGCUUAAAACUCGCAUGAUCGACCCUAACAAACGGCUGCGAUUUACUUUUGUCCUUCUGCCGGGUUGCUGAGCUUUUGGGCUGUUUCAAGUUGGUGGUAACCGAGGGCUGGGAGUCCUGGCAACCUUCCCGCUGCCCCCAGUUUCACUCCAACUUGAAACUGUUGCCUUUCGGUUUGGGUGGGAAUUCGGCGCCCAUCCUGUUAAGUUUCCUUUUCUUGGCUGGAUCCAGCAGAGGAGCUUUCUUAAAGCAGGGACACAAAGAGCAGGGUUAGGCUGCCACGAACGUCAGCGACAGACAGCGGCUGCCUUUAAAGGAAACGAGCCCCUGGCUCUUCUGCCUGGACCUAAAAUUGCUUCUGGCUGAGCCCAAGUUCUUAAAACUUUAAAAAAAAACAACCCAAAAGAGCUUUGUUCCUCCUCUCCUGCAACCACCACCUCUCUAACAGUUGAUCAGCUGGAGUUCAGCAAAGCAGGGCAGCAGGACUUGAAAUGCUUUCAAAGUCUGCUUGGAACAAAAAGCUGAGUGUCUUUUUUUUUUUUUUUUUAGGAGAAAUAAGAGCGGCUGUGCUGAAAAAAUAAAAAUGCUGAAACGAAGUCAACAGCUCUUUUGUUCUUCCUCUCCAUAUUCUGGGUAGUUCAAUCCCUGAGCUGGUGUUUCCCAUCCUCAGGGGGACACAGAGGAAGGCAGGAGAGUCCUCGCUUCUCCAUCCUCUCUCCUAACACUGCUGCCACCUGGGACUGCCUUGUGGGGAGGGAGAGGAAAGAAUGAUCCAGAGAAUGUGAUCGUAACUCAGCUGGAUCAGCUGUGCAGCCAGAGGCAGCCAGACAGCGAAGCUGUUUGGAGUUGACUUUUCCCAUCUGUGUCCUCAGCUCCUCUCUCCUUGCAUCUCACCAUGACUGAGAGGAUUUGAGGUUCAUCUGCUCCCCUGGCAGAACUGGACAGCAUGCCUUCAUGCACCAGCAU